UACGUAGGGGGCAAGCGUUGUCCGGAAUCAUUGGGCGUAAAGCGCGCGUAGGUGGCCCGGUAAGUCCGCUGUAAAAGUCCAGGGCUCAACCCUGGAAAGCCGGUGGAUACUGUCGGGCUCGAGUCCGGAAGAGGCGAGUGGAAUUCCUGGUGUAGCGGUGGAAUGCGCAGAUAUCAGGAGGAACACCGGUGGCGAAGGCGGUUCUCUGGGCCUUACCUGACGCUGAGGAGCGAAAGCGUGGGGAGCGAACAGG
rnacentral:rRNA from 1 species